UUCAUACUGCAGAUAGCUAUAGCCUGAACGUCAAAAAUGAGAUUUUCAGUGCAGUGUGUGCAGUCUGUAAAAUGCAACUUGAAGAUUACAAGCAGCAAAAGAUUGAAGACUAUUAAGAUAUUUGAAUCUUCUCAUUCUGAUGCAAAUAUUAGUCUUUUGUUCGCCUCCGUAGUGGUUUGAUAUGGUUCCUAUAACUACG